GAUGAACGCUGGCGGCGUGCCUAAUACAUGCAAGUCGAGCGGACGGACGAGAAGCUUGCGUCGCUGAUGUUAGCGGCGGACGUGUGUGUAACACGUGUAUAACCUACCUAUAAGACUGGUAUAACUUCGGGAAACCGGAUCUAAUACCGGAGGAUCUUUUGAACCGCAUGGUUCAAAAGUGAAAGACGGUCGUGCGGUCACUUAUAGCUGGAUCCGCGCUGCAUUGGCUAGUUGGUAAGGUAACGGCUUACUAAGGCAACGAUGCAUAGCCGAACGGAGAGGCUGAUAGGCCACACUGGAGGUGAGCCACGGUCAAGACUCCUACGGGAGGCAGCAGUCGCGAACCUUCGGCAGUAGGCGAAAGCCUGACGCAGCAACCCCGCGUGAGAGACGGCGGUCUUGGGUUCGUAAAGAUCUGUUAUUAGGGAUAAACCUCUGUCGCAGUAACUGUGCACAUAUUGACGGUAACGAAUCAGGAAGCACCGGCUAACUACGUG
rnacentral:rRNA from 1 species